AUUUAUAUAGCUUAAAGUAGAGUGUUACACUGAAGAUGUAAUGGUGAAUUAUUCUAUAAAUA
rnacentral:tRNA from 1 species